rnacentral:rRNA from 1 species
UACAGAGGUCCCAAGCGUUGUUCGGAUUCACUGGGCGUAAAGGGUGCGUAGGCGGGUUAUUAAGUCAGAGGUGAAAUCCUGGAGCUCAACUCCAGAACUGCCUUUGAUACUGAUAGUCUUGAGUAUGGGAGAGGUGAGUGGAACUGCGAGUGUAGAGGUGAAAUUCGUAGAUAUUCGCAAGAACACCAGUGGCGAAGGCGGCUCACUGGCCCAUUACUGACGCUGAGGCACGAAAGCGUGGGGAGCAAACAGG